AGCAGUCGCCACGGUAAUACGUAGGGUGCAAGCGUUACUCGGAAUUACUGGGCGUAAAGCGUGCGUAGGUGGUGGUUUAAGUCCGUUGUGAAAGCCCUGGGCUCAACCUGGGAAUUGCAGUGGAUACUGGGUCACUAGAGUGUGGUAGAGGAUAGUGGAAUUUCCGGUGUAGCAGUGAAAUGCGUAGAGAUCGGAAGGAACAUCUGUGGCGAAGGCGACUAUCUGGGCCAACACUGACACUGAGGCACGAAAGCGUGGGGAGCAAACAGGAUUAGAUACCCGAGUAGUCCCUGUCUCUUAUAC
rnacentral:rRNA from 1 species